rnacentral:ncRNA from 1 species
AUUAAGUUUUGUGUUUGCUUGUUAGUAAGCCUAAUAUUAAGUUCUCAUACAAAAAAGUAGAGAAUAGCUUUAUAUAAAUAUACAAUAGUUAUAGGUAAUAAAAAUAAAUCUAGAUAAUUAUGUGCCAGCAUCUGCGGUCAUACAUAAGGAUUGAGUUUACUAAAAUCUACAAGACAUAAAUAUUUAUCCAAAAAAAUUGGAAUUAUUAUAGUAGGUCCAAUCAGUAUAAUGAUCAUUAUUUUGAUUGAUAGUAUUAAAACUUUAAAAAAACCAGGAUUAGAUACCCUGUUAUAAGAGUUAAUACCAAAAUUGUAGAAUAAUACUGCUAAUUACAGGAAAUUUAAAUUUCAUGGCAGUUAGGAAUUCAGUUUAGAUGAAUAUGUCUUUUAAAUAGAUAGUACCCAAAGAAUUUUACUUAACUUUGAAAUAGCCACUUUUCCCACCGCCGUUUAUGAAUUUAAUUAAGUAUUUUCAGUAAUGGGUCCUUCUGGCCAAAUAAAUCAGGUAAAGGUGAAAGAUAUGGUUAAGGUAAGAUGUAUUACAAUUUUUAUAAAAGUGAAUAAAUUUUUUGAAAAGAUUUUUGAAAAUGAAUUUAAGAGUAAUAAAUUUUAAUAAUAAAUUUAUGAAUAUGAUCCUCCUUUUGUACAAAUCGCCCGUCACCCCCGAGUCAUACUUGGGGUAAGUCGAAACAAAGUAGAAGUACUGGAAAGUGUUUCUAAAUUAUAAAUUA